AUGUGGGACUGUGUGCUCAGCCCUGAACCAAUCACUGUAGCAAAAAAAAAAAAAAAAAAUGUGGUUUUGCUAAUUAAAAUAGCCCUGAACCAUGUACAAGAGUUCAGUCUUCUUCUCACAAAACACAUGAAUUUGAAUUGGAGUGAUGAAAGAAAUCAGAUGAGGGACUCUAAAACUAGUUUAGAGAGAGAAGAUGGUAAGAAAAUCCGGUGGUGCCCAUUGGGACAGAAAGAAGAGAAUGGAUUUACAAGAUGUUUUAGAGGUAAAACAGACAGACCUUGGUGAUGAAUUUGAUUUGGAGUGAUGAGGAACACCCAGGGUUAGGUUGACUUUUGGUUUCUGGGUGGAUAAUCAAAGAUGAACCAGACUUUGGUAAUGGGAUUGAAAAGAGAGUCAUGAGUGCAAGUUUGGACAUGGACCCUUAGGUGCAGACUUUAGUUAGAAAAUAACUAAGGUCAGGCGGGGUGGCUCAUGCCUGUAAUCCCAGCACUCUGGGAAGUCGAAGUGAGCAGAUCACUUGAGCCCAGGAGUUGGGGACUAGCCUGGGCAACACAGCAAAACCUUAUCUCUACAAAAAAAUACAAAAUUAGCUGGAUGUGGUGGCAUGCACCUGUAGUCCCAGCUACUCAGGAAGCUGGGUGGGAGGAUCACCUGAUCCCAGGAGUUUAAGGCUUCAGUGAGCCAUGAUAAUGCCACCGCACUCCAGCCUGGGCAACAGAAUGAAACCCUGUCUCAAAAACAGAAAUAAACAAACAAAAAAGGAAACUAGAAAGUAACUAACACUGAACUGAAUGUGGAGUUCCCCUUGCCCCUUCCAUUCUUCAUCCUUCUCUGGAGUCCAUGCUUAGUUAACAACCAACUUCAUAUGCAUACCUAGGGGACCAGAAUGCAGAGUCCUGACUCACUGUCUGAGGUCACUAAACAGCUAUUUUGAGAACAUCUGGAGCCUUGCCUUUCCAUUUUCAGAAGGAAUAUUGUAAACCCAAGAACCCUUAGUGGAGGCCAGGGCCCACAUGCUGGGCAAACUGGCUUGAGUGCUCCUGGGCUUCAGUCAGGUCCUGGAAUGUCAAGCCCACUCCUUUCUGUCACCUAGCGCAUCCCCAGGAGAACGGCCAGUUACCCAACUCUCACACUCUUCCCGUUAGGUCAUCCCUCAUGACCAAGAAGUACCUGAAGAAAAGACUUCAUUGUCUACUGGGUGUUUCCAACUCCUUACUCAGACAUCAUUGGAGGAUCGUGGGUUUGAACCGGUGGUCCACGACACCCACAGGGGCUGACGCCCACAGUGGAUGUGUUGUUGUCCUAUCUCAGGCUUUGAGUGCCUUGAGGACAUGGAUCACUCAUCUCCAUACCCCACAAAUGGGCAGGAAAUAAUUGAGGAAGGAGGAAUGAAGACAGGACAUCCCACUCAUCAGACAUUUGUUAUAGUCCAGGCACCGAACUGAGCACAGGAACAAAACGAUGCAUUAGACACAGACCUUACCUAGUUCCCGAGACAGGAAUGGGAGAUAUGCAUGAUAAAGGUAUGCAAAAUGCAGAAAGACAACAAACACCUACAAGAGCAGGGAUAAGGUUCCCAGGACAGGCGACAUUUGAGGUGGGUUUUGACAGAUCACCAGGUAGAACUCAGGUAAGGGGAGGAAUAGAAAUUAAACACAGUGUGGAAGAAAAGAAAGAGGCUGUGGAUUCAAAUCCUAGCUCUGCCUUUUUGGGCAACUGAGGUCUUUCAAAGGAGAUUGCUAAUACCACUCUCACACCAGCUGCUGUAAGCAUGCAGUACGAUAAUACACACUCUGGGCAUAUCAUAAUAAAAGCUCUUUAUUGAGUUCUUACUGGCUUGUGCCAGAAAAGUCAUAUAAUUUCUCAUUUAUUACUUACAACACCAAGUAUUUGUCCUAUAGGAUCUUAUAAAUUAAUUCAUUUUUCAUGGGAGGAAACCGAGGCACGGAGAUGGGCUAAUUUGGUAGAAAUAGUACUUUAGCCAGGC
rnacentral:lncRNA from 1 species